AGGUAUAAACUAUCGAUUCUCAAAGCUCGCUGUUGCCAUGCUGGGCUAAAUGGUCUUUGGAGAGAAAAUGCAUUUGCCUGUAUAAGGGUUAAACAUGGAAGUAAAAAAGUUUCAUGCCCGUCUUUAUCAAAACUUUCAACAUAAACUCGCUCUAAAAUAGAUGGUAUUUAUGCUCAUAUUCGACCCUUUGCGCUCUUUUUAAUUUCCCGCUAACGUUAGCUUGCUUGCAUCUUUUCGUGUUCUGCGUUUCUUCUACAUGUUUAGCUUGCUAGCUCGACUGGAUUUUAUGCCUGAGAUGUGGACUUGAUCAUGGCCGCACAAGUGGCAACAGCCCCAACAUCAACUGGUAAGAAAAGGUCGAGUUUAACUAGCAGCGUGAGUCAAGAUUUUAAAUCUGCAGUAGUUGGUGGAGCUGUACUUGGGGUAGGAAACGGGACUAUCGUUCAUGCUAUUAAUGUAGAACGCAAUCACCAUGAAUUGAACCCAAACAGAGCUCGAGUUUUUCCUGUAAACAACAAUUCGAGUCAACGUGAGAAGGAAAGUGGAUAUUAUAGAUCGGAGUCUUUUUCGACUUCAAAUUGUAGCAUGAGUUCGGGAAGCAUGGAGACGGGAACGCUUGUCAGUCAUAAAGUGAAAAAUGUUGGUGUCGGAGAUCCUCCUCCAUCGCACCACCACACACCUCCACAGCAACAGCCAUUCAGUCAAUUCAUUCAGCACCAACAACGCCAAAUUCACAACAGCCAGCAGUCGAUACAUGGAGAAAGUGGAAACCGCCAACAUGGAGGAAAAGAGAACGUUGUUUUAGGGAAUCAAGUGGAGCUCCAUCAGCAGCAACAAAUGCUAAAUAAAAGUGAGGAGGAGGACCAACCGGGCAAAACGGAGGACCGGAUUAACAGCAGGUACGACCAUGCCAGUUUGGGAACAACUAAUAACAUCAACCCGCCCCAAAGUGGGAACAGUUCAGUUUUGGAUAUAAAUAAUAUUUAUUAUGGAAAGGGAAGAGGAGGGCCUUGCUUUGAUCAACAUGGCGGACAACAAAGCCCAGGGUCUGGGAUAAUACAUUCGGUACAACAGAACAAUAUGGAUCAACUUCAACAAAACUCCCACGAAGGAUACCAAAACAACCCGUACAAUCACUACCCGAACUACCGACCUGGCUACGGUAACAGUGGAUAUGGGAUGAUGAGUCCCUCUCGGCACGGGAACAACAUGAUGGGCCCAGUCAGCAACACUGCUGCUGCUAAUCAUAGCAGAGCUGCCAUGGCUGCUGCCUCUUCUGGUAGUGCGAAUAUUGGAGGGUUUCACAGAUUUCCAGGGCAAAGUCAGCAGCAUCCGUCGGGGGCUACCCCGACUCUAAACCAGUUACUGACGUCCCCGAGCCCUAUGAUGCGGGGCUAUGGCAGUGGCUAUCAAGAUUACACUAAUCCUUCUGCUGAACAGCAACAAUCAAGCAUGGGGCUGACUAAAGACUUGAGCUCCCAAUACGGUUCAACAACUCAUAGUUGGGGAGGACAAGAAAGAAAUCACCCUGCCAUGAGCCCUGGAAACAACGGACAAGGAAGCGGCAGAUCACAGGUGCCACCAAUAGACGCCAUGGCGAUGAAGCGCUCUCAGAUGUACGGCAUGGGCAACAACCCUUACUCCCAGCAACAGCAGGGCGGGGGCGGCUCCUACCCUGGCCAACCAUACGGAUCACCUUCUCCUCACCGCUACCCAAUGGGAAUGCCUGGGAGGGGUCAGAUGGGCAUGAGUGGAAUGCAGUAUCCUCAACAGCAGCAGCAGAUGGCAGCUCAGUAUAGGCAGCAGCAGGGGGGCAUGAGUGGGUACUGCCAGCCACAAGGCCAGCCCCCGUACUCCAGCCCUCCCCAGCAGCAGCCUGCAGCCCCCACGCAGCCCCCCUACAUGCAGGCACGUCCACUGCCACCGCAGCAGGUGUCACAAGAAGGCUAUGUCAAUAGGGCCCAAUCUGCUAUGACCCCUGGGAAGCCCAACCAUGAGGAGAUGGGCCUCAGCCAGCAGGACAGACCCUCCAGUCUACCUGACCUGUCUGGGUCUAUAGAUGACCUUCCCACGGGCACAGAGGUGGCUAUCAGCUCAGCGGUCAGUGCUUCGGGGUCCACCAGCAGCCAGGGCGAGCAGAGUAACCCGGCCCAGUCUCCCUUCUCACCCCACAUGUCCCCUCGCCUGCGUAGCGGCCCCUCCCCCUCCCCCGUGGGAUCACCCGUGGGAUCCAGCCAAUCGCGCUCCGGACCGAUCUCCCCCGCCAGCGUCCCAGGCACCCAGAUGGCCCCACAGACCCCUGGGAACAUGUCUGAUGUGGGUUCCCAUUCCACCCUGAGCCAGUCCCCCAUGUCUCAGGAGAGAGGGUUCCCACCUGCCAUGCAGCGGAACACCACAGUCCCCCAGCAGUCAGGUCAGGGACCCGCCAUGUCCCCUCACUCGUCCCCCGGUGGCUCCAUGCACCCCCAAAGCUCCUACCACCAGCAGCAGCUGCAGGGGGGCCUCGGCCCCUCGUACGGACCCCAGACCAGCCAGUACGGCCCCCAAGGUAACUACCCCAGACCCCCUAACUACGGCGGGACCCCCAGUGCCAACUACAGCGGUCCUGGCCCUGGCAUGAGCAACAGCCUGGGCAUGAAUGCCAAUAGCCCCAUGCACGGCCAGGGCCCUGGGCAGCCCUGUGGCUCCAUGCCCGCCGGGCGAGGCCUGGGCCCGGGGGCCAGUGGGCGACCCCACCUCGGUGCCAAUACCAACACCAUGGCCCCCACCUCUCCCAGCAUGCCGCAGCCUGCCGGACAGCGCCAGGGCAUGAGACCGCCCCUGCCCAGUGUUAACCAGGAGGCAGGUCUGGGUCCGGGAACCAACGCCAUGCAGGGGCCCAACGCUGGUCCCAACCCUUCUGCACAGGGAAGGCCUCCCUACGCGCGAUCCCCUGCCUACCCCAGCCUGAGUUGUCCUGGGACGUGCCCUCGCCUCUCUCCCCAUCACUCUCCCUCCCCUCACCCCCAUCACUCUAAUUCCCCCCGUCCCCCCCACCACACCCAGGUCAGCAGUGCUCAGAGCCACCCCAUGAUGCAGCAGGCUGACCAGUAUGGGCAGGGAAUGACCCCCAUGCCUCACCAUCCAGGCAUGAGCCCCAGAGGGAUGGCUUCCAGCCCUGCUGGCCCCUACAGCCAGCAGCCAGGGGCCAACACCUCUGGGAGGAUGACCCCACAGGGGCCCCAACCUCCCUACAACGCACCCUCCGGGCCCAUGCUUAUGGGAGGAGAGGGGAUGGUGUGUCCCACUGACCCCAAACCGAGACCUCCAGAGCAGUACAGGGAGAGCAAUACUCCUGGUCCUGCCGCCGAGCCCCCACCUAAACCCAAGAAGACCAGCCCGGCCACCAUGACCAAUGAGAAGAUUCGCAUCCUGUACGAGAUGGGCGUAGAGCCCGAGAGGCAGGUGUGGGUGGACCGUUACCUGGCCUUCAUGGAGGAGAGGGGCACGCCUGUACCUAUGCUGCCAGCCGUGGGCAGGAAGCCCCUGGAUCUGUGCCGCCUCUACCUGUGUGUUCGAGAAAUAGGAGGACUGGCCAUGGUGAACAAGAGCAAGAAGUGGAGGGAGCUGUCCACCCAUCUCAACGUGGGCACGUCCAGCAGCUCUGCCAGCUCUCUGAAGAAGCAGUACAUCCAGUACCUGUUUGCCUAUGAGUGCAGGGUGGAGCGGGGAGAGGAGCCGCCGCUGGAGAUCCCGGGGGAAACCAAGAAACAGGCUAAGAUCCAGCCACCCUCACCGGCCAACUCUGGCUCCCUGCAGGGUCCUCACACCCCCCAGUCUACAGGUAGCAGCUCCAUUACUGAGAUGUCAGAGGGCAUGAAGCUUCCCAUUCCUGCCACCACACCACACGUGACCCCCCAGCCAGGUAACAGGAACAGUGUUGGUAUCCGUGUCCAGGAUCCCUUCUCAGAGGUCAGUGACCCUGCCUUCCACAAGCGAGGGCCCAUGCCCUCUGGCGCCCAAUACCAGCAGGUUGGCGGUAGUGCAGACCCCUCCAUGAGGAUGCAGUAUGACGCCAACAAAGACCCCUAUGAAGGGCCCCGGAAGGGGCCAGGGGGCAGUGAGCCCUAUAGACCAGGUCAGAUGGCCAGCGGUGCCAUGCAGGACAUGUACCCCCGUGGUCCUCCCUCAGGAGCCAUGCCAGGGAUGGGUAUGGGCCCUGGCCCGCGGUCACAGUACCCCUACGGGCCUGGCUACGACAGGAGACCAGACCAUGUGAUGGGUUCGGAGGGGGGGGUGCCUCCCCCUGGGGGCCAGAACAACAUGGUACCUUCCAGCGGUGACCCAAGCAUGUACUCUGCCAACCGAUAUCCCCAUCAGCGGCCACAUGGACAUGAAAGUUAUGGGCAGCAGUACCCUCACGGCCCCAUGCCCUAUGGCUCUCACCAGUCUGGGAUGUACCCACAACAGGGCUAUAAGAGGCCAGUGGGACAAGAGGGGAUGUACGGUCCCCCUGCUAAGCGCCAUGAGGGUGAAGCCUACGACAUGCAGCAGUACGGAGGGCAGCAGCCAGACAUGCACCGCCUGUAUGGAGGGGGCUACAUGGGGCCGGAGCACAGGCCCAUGCACGGCCAGUACCCUUACCCCUACAGCCGAGACCGCAUGGGAGCCAUCCAGGGGCCCCAACAACACGGCAUGAUGAGCGGAGGUCCUCCCUUCCCCUCCGGAGCCUCUCCAGAGGGCCCCCAGGCCAACAUGUGGCACCCCAGGACAGACAUGGGCUACCCCGGGCCCUACCCUGGCCGACAGGGCCAGGGGCCACCUUACCCUGUUAUGGGCCGGGGUCCGGGGGAUGACCCAGAGGGAAGGGCCCUCCAGGACGGCCAAUGGAUGUCCGGACACCCGGGCCAGUCCCCAUACCCAUGCCCCUCUUCCUCCUCCAUGCCCCCCAUGGCUUCCCGACAGCCCCCCUCCUCCUACCAGUCUAACCCUGCCAUGGCCAACCACAUCGCUAGAGCCCCCAGCCCCUUCGCCCGGCCCGUGGGGGGACCCGGACCCCUUUCCCCCAACAACGGGGGCCACUACAUGGCCUCUCUGAAGAAGGCAGGGAUGCCUGGGUCCAUGCCAGGCUCACACAGUGGGGGGAUGUCAGGGCAGGGCAUUCUACCUCUCCACAGAGAUAUCAGCUUCCCCAUGGGGUCUGUGGAGGCCACCCUGCCCAAACUCAAGGUCCGACGCAGACUUACUUCCAAGGAGACCGGAACCCCAGAGGCGUGGCGUGUGAUGAUGUCUCUGAAGUCAGGUCUGCUGGCUGAGAGCACAUGGGCGCUGGACACCAUCAACAUCCUGCUGUAUGACGACACCACUGUGUCCUCCUUCACCCUGUCACAGCUGCCUGGCUUCCUGGAGCUGAUAGUGGAGUACUUCCGCCGGAGUCUGAUCUCCAUCUUUGGGAUCCUGGAUGAGUACGAGGUGGGCACCGAGGGCCAGAAGAUGCUGCUCGGACCAAUCAGAGACCAGGAAGAGGGGCUUACCGUUGCAGAGCUUGACAGCCAGUUAGACGAAGAGCAGAGGGACAGCGGGCCAGAGAAGACCACAGCCAACAGCAACACAGAGGAGGCGGUCCCAGAGGAGAAGGAAGAGCCUGUGGAGGUGACUUUGAAAGAGAAGGUAGAGGGGGAGGAAAAGAAGGGGGCCUCCCCCGAGCAGUCCCAGCCCCCAGAGCCCAGGCCCAAACAGGCCAGUAAGUACGACAAGCUGCCUGUGAAGGUGGAGGAGGACCAGGUGGAGGAGGACCAGGAGCUCAGUCUGUCCAGGGGGUUCACCUCUGGCCUGCUGCACUGGAAGGCUGGAGGAGGGGACUCCACUGCCCACAUCCAGACACACUUUGAGAUACGUGGCGAGGAGACCAACAGUAAGCCUACAGAGAGGAAAGAGAGGGAGGAUAAGACAGAAAUGACAGAGGAGGAGAGGAAGGCUGUUGUAGAGAAGAGCAUGACUGAGACAGCCACUAUGGACGAUAUGCUGAGUGCCUGGCCAGGCUCUCUGUCAGAGAGGAACGGUCUUCCCGGGACGCAGACCCAGAGCCCUAUCUUCACCCUGCUGGAGGACGAACCUCGCUGCUGGGACGAGGCGCCCCUCUCCACGGCCGAACCCUGGCAGGACGCCCUGGCCCGCCGCUGCGUUUGCAUCUCCAACAUUGUCCGCGGCCUCUCCUUCAUCCCGGGGAAUGACAACGACAUGUCCUGCCACCCUGGCCUGGUGCUGAUCCUGGGUCGGCUGGUCCUGCUGCACCACCUGCACCCCCAGAGGAGGAGGAUGCCUCCCAGCUACCAGAGAGAGGAGGAGCAGGGCCUGGCCUGCAGUAAAGACCAGUGGUGGUGGGACUGUUUGUCAGCCCUCAGGGAGAACACUCUGGUCACCCUGGCUAACAUCUCAGGUCAACUAGACCUGUCCCUCUACCCAGAGAGCAUCUGUCUGCCCAUCCUGGACGGGCUCCUCCACUGGAUGGUGUGUCCCUCUGCCGAGGCCCAGGACCCCUUCACCACGGCGAGCUGCUCCUCCUCCCUCACCCCCCAGAGACUGGUGCUGGAGUGCCUGUGCAAGCUGAGCAUCCAGGACAACAACGUGGACCUCCUGCUGGCCACGCCGCCGUUCAGCCGCCAGGAGAAGCUCUACGCCACCCUGGUGCACCACGUGGGUGAGCGGAAGUCCCAGGUGUGCCGGGAGAUGGCAGUGGCUGUGCUCUCUAACCUGGCGCAGGGGGACCCGACCGCGGCGCGCGCCAUCGCACUGCAGAAGGGCAGCGUGGGGAUACUCAUCGGCUUCCUGGAGGACUGCGUGGCCAUGUGCCAGCACCAGCAGGGACCCCACAGCCUGUUACACCCAGCAGCACACCCCCAACCCCCCCAGCGUUAACAUGAUGUGCAGGGCCGCCAAGGCUCUUCUGGCCAUGGCCAAGGAGCACCGGACAGAGUUGGUUCUCUACGAGAGCAGGCUACUGGAUAUCUCCCUGUCCUCUGUGCUGAGCUCAGCCGUGGCGGCCAUCAUGUGUGAAGUACUGUUUAAGAUUGGACGCUCCUCGUGACAGCCACAGGCAAAGAAACAGAGGGAGGGGGGGGUUGGUCUGACUACCAGGCUACAGUGAACACAAACACAUUGGUGUGGGUGGUAUUAUAUUUUUAUUUAAAUAAGACACUUUUUUUUUUUUACAAAUAAAAAUAUAUAUAGCUCCUCAGCCCAAAUCACAACCUUUAUUUGGAAUUUUUAAAUAAUUUUAAUAAAAUAUUUAAUACUUGGUAUUUUUUUUAAAGUAUAUUUUUAUUUGUCGCUUCGUUUUUUGUUUUAACCAAAGUUGGCACCCAAUGGAAGGUAACGUACUUUAGUUUUGGGGUCUCGUGCUUACAUUUUAUUUGUAUUUUUUUUGUUGUACGUGGCUGUUUGUCUGUAUGGGAUCUUUUUGUUGGUGUUUUUUUGUAGGGGGAAGCAGACUUAUUUAAAUUGUGAAUCAUGCUGUAGAUGGACCUCUAUCGUGUAUUAAGGUAAAGAAAAAACCACUGACUUUACUCUGAAUAUAUAACAGUACAUCAUAUAUCCUGUUCUGGGGGGGGGGGGGGGGGGCCCUAUUGUGCAAUAGGAUUUAGUAGGCUUGUUGGGGGGGGUUAACAAAUGUGAAUUACUUUCGACCACAGACAACUGACCACAAGUAUUGCAUCAUAAUAUUAUUACCAUACCAGUAUAACAGGGACUAAACAAGACACCCUGUUCAACUGACUUACUGGUAACCAUAGCAACACAGUACUUCCAUCAGUCCUUAUCUCCUUUUCUAUCUAUAAGCUCAUUUGUAUAUAGAAGAUGUACAUUGACAGCCCUAUUUGGUAUCUUCGCCAAGAGAUGUGGUAUAGAUAAGUGAUGGUAGUUGAUAAUUAUAAUGACCUUUAGAAUUAUUAUUACUGCUCAUUUGAAUACUGGAUAUUUAGUUACUCACUUCAAAUGAGGUUAGUCAUUUUAUGUAAUUAAAAAUAUAUAUAUAUAUAUUCUGACUGGGACAGGUCUAAGGACAUAUAGGGAUGAGACCGCUCUAGUUUUGGUUCUGAAAAGACAACUGUAUUUAGAUUGUACAGACAGCUAGCAGACCAUGAUGGGCAGAACUGUAUUCCAGAAUAACGAUGUUGUAUAACAUGCCUGAUUGACAGUUAAGUGUUGUUUUUUUACUCUACAUAGAGGGUACUUCUCCCCCUUUCAUUUGAUCAACUUUACAUUGUUUAUUCAGUAUAAAAUCUUUAUUCUAUGUUCCACAUGUUAAGAAUAAACGUACAUGGAUUUUG